ensembl:lncRNA
AGAUUUCUAUCUGGCGAUUCUUCCUUUUGGAGCCUUUUCACAAGCUCAGGACAUGGGGGAGUCCAGAAAUGGACACGGCACUACAGAUGUGGCCUCACCGGUGCUGAAAAGAUGUUCCCAGUGACAGAACCAAAGACUGUCGGUGUGUUCACUCUGAAUAUGAGGUCUCUCAUCUCCAUGCUUCUUUUAGCCCUAAGCAGAAAAUGCUAAUGGUUUAUUGUUACUGGCUCCAGAACUUAAUGAGCUUUCCUGUAGUGUGUCUGAUUGAGUUAAUGUUAUAGCAGUGUGUUAAACGUGGGCUUUUAUCUGUGAUAUAACGUACUGCUGGAACAACUUUGUUUUUCAAUUUUAAUUGUCUGAAUCUACAUCAAACUUCUGAACACGUUACCUGUAUUGUGAGCUGAAAUGAAGCAUCCUGCUGUCAGAAUAGCUAAUUGCUAGAAAUUUGGACUGAUAUUCAAUUAGAAUGUUCAUAUUGUUCAACAGUAUUUUUAAAAGACUUUGAACAGUAGUUCUGUAUGCACUGGUUUUGGUCAGGUAGUGGUGUCUGUGCAUUUUUAAGUGGUAUGGAUACAGACGAGAUGACUGCGUUUAUGAUGUGCAUUGCUGCUAUGAGGUGUAAACAUACCUAGCACUGUCUUCCUGUACAGAGAACGCCAAAUCCCACAGGUUCAGCUGACACACAUACCGGCUCUUCACUGCCCUCUUUUCACCUGGAAUAGAGAUGGAUAAAUGGAGAUAAACAUGUUCAUUACACACUUUCAGUGAUGUGUAAUACUAACAAACCUGCAGUGAUAGUGUGCUCCCUGAGCAGGUCUGUCCCAUGCAGGUUCGGGUACACUGACUUUUGCAGCAACUCGGGGCUCUGAGCACCGUCACCUUUCUGGGUUUUCACAGUUUGGGAUCAGCAGGCAGAUAUGGAGGUGUAACUAAGCAUGCAACACCAUUAAUGAAUCUCAUCAAAAGGAGAUCACAAAAUCCUUGAGCUGCAUAAAUCUCCAGAGGCUAUCUACAGCUAAUUUUCUCAACCGUGUUCUUUCUCCAAACUCCCUGUAAUAAUGAAACAGCAUUUAUGCCUUUUAAGCAACAUAUUGCGUGGAUUAUAAGCGACAUGUAACCUUCCCAGCAAGCCAAGGAAAAUGACAGCAUUAAACUCCCAACAGCUAUCAAAAUGCAUUAACAAUUUUAGAAGAAAAUUACUUUUGAGAAGACAGGUUUUAAAUGAAUAAACAUGAAUUUACCACGUUUCAUCAGGGCAUGGGGUUCGUAUGCAGCAUCUUCAUUCGAAGCAAGGCAAAACCACCCUUGAU